GCCAGCAGCUAUAUCACCCUGCAGCUCACAUCUGACAACCUACUCGUACUAAGCAGAUGUGAGCCUGGCCAGUACCUGAAUGGGAGACCUCCUGGGAAAGUUAAGGUUGCUGCUAGAA
rnacentral:rRNA from 1 species